rnacentral:rRNA from 1 species
GGCUCAGGACGAACGCUGGCGGCGUGCCUAACACAUGCAAGCCGCGGGAGAAAGCCCCUUCGGGGGCGAGUAGACCGGCGGACGGGUGAGGAACGCGUGAGUGAUCUGCCCGGAGGCGGGGGACAACCCGGGGAAACCCGGGCUAAUACCGCAUGGGUGCGGCGGGGGUGGAGCCCUGUCGUGAAAGCUGGCCUCUGCGUGCAAGCCAGCGCCUCCGGAGGAGCUCGCGUCCUAUCAGCUAGUUGGUGGGGUAAGGGCCCACCAAGGCGAUGACGGGUAGCUGGCGUGAGAGCGUGGCCAGCCACACUGGGACUGAGACACGGCCCAGACUCCUACGGGAGGCAGCAGUGGGGAAUCUUGCACAAUGGGUGAGAGCCUGAUGCAGCGACGCCGCGUGGGGGAGGACGGCCGAGAGGUUGUAAACCCCUGUCGGGCGGGAAGAAUCAAGGGAUCGGCGAACAGCCGGUGCCCCUGACGGUACCGCCAGCAGGAAGCUCCGGCUAACUCCGUGCCAGCAGCCGCGGUAAAACGGAGGGAGCGAGCGUUGUCCGGAAUUACUGGGCGUACAGGGCGCGUAGGCGGCCGGAUCAGUCGUGUGUGAACGCCCCGGGCUCAACCCGGGAGGUGCAGGCGAAACUGUCCGGCUGGAGUCAGGCAGAGGCGAGCGGAAUUCCCGGUGUAGCGGUGGAAUGCGUAGAUAUCGGGAGGAACACCGACGGCGAAGGCAGCUCGCUGGGCCUGUUCUGACGCUGAAGCGCGAAAGCGUGGGGAUCAAACAGGAUUAGAUACCCUGGUAGUCCACGCCGUAAACGCUGGGCACUAGGCAUGGGGAGGUCUGGUCCUUUCCGUGCCGCAGCUAACGCAUUAAGUGCCCCGCCUGGGGAGUACGGCCGCAAGGCUGAAACUCAAAGGAAUUGACGGGGGCCCGCACAACCGGUGGAGCAUGUGGUUUAAUUCGAAGCAACGCGAAGAACCUUACCAGGCCUUGACAUGUCGGAGGUAGGGGCCGGGAAACCGGCGCCGACCCUUCGGGGAGCCGUCACAGGUGCUGCAUGGCUGUCGUCAGCUCGUGUCGUGAGAUGUUGGGUUAAGUCCCGCAACGAGCGGAACCCUUGCCCGUAGUUGCCAGCGGGUGAUGCCGGGGACUCUACGGGGACUGCCGGUGAUAAACCGGAGGAAGGUGGGGACGACGUCAAGUCAUCAUGGCCCUUAUGGUCUGGGCGACACACGUGCUACAAUGGCCGGCACAAAGGGUGGCGAUGCCGCGAGGCGGAGCGAAUCCCAAAAAACCGGUCCCAGUUCGAAUUGCAGUCUGCAACCCGACUGCAUGAAGGCGGAAUCGGUAGUAAUCGUGGGUCAGCCAUACCACGGUGAAUGCGUUCCCGGGCCUUGUACACACCGCCCGUCAAGCGAUGGAAGCUGGGGGUACCCGAAGCCGGUGACCCAACCCCUUCGGGGGAGGGAGCCGUCGAAGGUAAGCCCAGUGACUGGCGCUAAGUCGAACAAGGUAGCCG